rnacentral:lncRNA from 1 species
CGAGGUCUUUAAAAGCAGAGCGUUUACUCUAGUUGGUUGCAGUCAGAGAGACACGCUUAGGUGGCUCAGAGGAAAGCCGGUAUCCAUGUUCUCGAUGGUGCAUGUAGGCCACAUGGAAAGAAACUGAAGGAGACGUCUAGAAGAAUAGAGUGGUCCCUGGCCAACAGCUAAAAAAAAAAAAAAAAACAAAACACUAAAACGGCAAAUAAGUUGGGACCUCAGCCCUACAACCACAAAGAAAGAAAUUCUGCCAAAACACACAGAGGACCUCCAGCCUUCGAUGAGAACCAUAACCCUAUCAAAAACCUUGAUUUCAGCUAGUGAGACCCUGAGUAGGAACUCCGGCCAAGCUGCACCCUGGAUUCUAACCUACAGAAAGUUUAAGGCUGGAUUUGUGGAUUCACUUGCAAAGAAAAGAUGAGAGAAAGAGGACCACAAAUAACUUUACAGUGGAAAAAAGGGCAGAUCUACCAAGAGAUCAAGGCUGACAUCACAGAUACUGUGUUUGUCGCAAAUUGAAAGUUUGUGGCAACCCUCCAUCAAGCAAGUCUAUCAGCACCACUGCAUCAUUUUUCCAACAGCAUGUGCUCACUUCAUGUCUCGGUGUCAUCAUUUUGGAAGGAUAGAGAAAAUAGAAGAUAUCGAGAGGAAAGAGCAAAAAGUUUUGCUUUUUUAUUCUGAGAAAGUAAUGCAUAUUUCUGCUCAUGAAUCAGAAUUUCCAAGUAAUCCAGACAGUGAGCCUCCACUGAGAACAAAGAAGAUCUUCAAAGCCACCAGUCAGCCAAAGAGGUCAUAAGUGAGAACCUCUCAGUGAGAUGCCAGGACUUCUGGAGAGAACUCCUACUAGAAUUCCUCAGAAUCAGCACAGCAAUGUUUUGCCCAGGCCCCCUUCCCUGCCCUGGUAAGACUGGAGUUGCUUCACCCUGGCCAUUAAAUUGGAAAUAAAAUGUCUUUGCGUAGAUGAUACCUGUUAGCCUGAUGGAAGAACUUCUUGUAUUAUGUUUUUUUUUUCUAAUUUAGUUAGAAAAGUACCUUAAUCAGAAUUCAAAGAUGCAUAAGCGUACUGUCUUUAAAAUUGUCACAUUGGUAAGUUAUGUAGAUUUUUAAAAACAUUACUGCCAUUUAUCAAGGCACUUGGAGAGUAUGUCCUUUAGAAUUAUAUUCCAAGUCCUUUCAAAGCUACAUUCAUUCCUUAGCCUAUUCUCAAAACAAAUUGGAGAGGAUAGGCUUACAGCAUAACCUCCUAGAAUAGGCAAAGACACCUACAAAUACUUAUUAAGCUACCUCUUGUCUUUCCAAACUUGCUUACAGUCAGAAAGUCUAACCUAUUUAGAAAGUAAGUCCAUUCAGUUUUAUGUGUGAGAAUGGUAACAGUCUAAUCACUUCCAUUCUUUGGAUACUAAUGACUUUGGGAUAUUUCCAAAACCAGAUGUACUUUCAAAAAAUGGCUAUUUGAAAUUACUUAGUAAUGCCUAGUGAAUUAGCUUUUUCUACUUAAAGGUAGACUUCAGCUCUUCAACAAUACCUACAAAAUCACAUAGGUCUUCUUGGUAUAUGCAAAUUUUUUUGUUCCUUCUUUGUAACUGUACGUAAAGAUGGAUUCUCAAUAUUAAUGGGGAUAUUCACAUCUCUGAAUUACUGGAACCAAUAUUUUUCUAAUUGAUAUAAAGCUAGAUAUUUUCAAAUUUUAUUAGAUGUUAUUGUCAGGUGCUAAGUCAAUUGUGUAAUAUAUUAUUAAACAAUGUAAAGAAGUUUCUCAACAUGUUACCUAUUUCAAUAAAAAUAAUUUUUGCAACAGCAUAUGGUUUUGAAUUAAAAAUAGAAAAUAA